rnacentral:lncRNA from 1 species
CGGUCAUGCAAGGGAGAGCGUUGAGCCCAGGCCCCAGGAUAACUGAGACUGUUUGGAGGUGGUGUCCCCAACCCUCGCUUACGUGGGCGGGUCUCAGCGGGGCGAGGCUUAGCUUGCCUGCUGAGCCCUGCAAAUGCAGGUGAGGCGGCUCAAGCGUUUCCACCUGGACUGGCGUGGCGCUCAGGCCUCUGCGUCUCUCUCUUCCCGUGUAUGCAGAGUCAGCUGCCCUGCCCUCGCCUGUGAUUCUAAAAUCAACACAACCAAAUCCACACUCGUCGCUGGCUUUCCCUGCCCUGCUGUGGAGCACAUGAACCCGGGGACGCAUUCGGCUUUCCUUUGAUAGGGGAAGGCAGCCCAAACAGCACCCAGACCAAGAGCCUGGAUCAGGGAUCCUGCUGCCUGAGACUUUCUAACUAGGCCAAGAAAUGAGGACACUGAACUACUUCUUCUUGAGAUGACGGAAUCUUGCAAGUUUAUUUAUUGUUUCCUGGGGGAGGAGACACAGUCUGUUGGAACUGGAAGUGAUGAGAGAUUGCCAUCCAAUUCCAUAGGAGGCCAAUGAGAGGACCAGACCAGAGGGAGUGAGGUCUAUCUAUCCCACGAAGAAACUGAGAUGCAGCUUAUGAAAUAGAGGCUGACAAUGGCUCACCCACCUCCUUUGUAAGAGCCUGGUGUGUGCUACAGGAGCAUGGCCCAUAUACGUGUCAGGUUGAAGGACAACUCAGGAGCUGUCCAAGGCUCAACUUGGCCCCACUUGCCCCAUCUGGCAGCCUGGACCGAGCAUUGUUCAUUGAGUCCCACACCCACAUGGCCCCAGAGUCAAACCGCCUUUCAUGCUGAAGAAUGGAACUGACACUCCCAGCAACAUCUCCCCCAACCAUGCCCAUCUGUUAAUCCAACUUAAAAAGAAGGAAAAAAAAAUGACAAUGGAAAUGGAAAUACUUUAAAACAUUGUGUGUGUUUUGUGUGUGUGUGUGUGUGAUCAAAUCUCUUUCCCUGAAAUAUGACAAAGCAUUGCCAUCCCUUCUCCAAUAUCCUCUAUCCAUUAAUGGUCUUUCUGAUUCAAUAAACAGGAUUUCAGGCUCUGCCCCCUCCCUCUUUUCCACCCCUACUCCAGGAGAACAUGGGCUGCUUCCAGUAUAGCUCAUAUUAAGCUGUGCAGUUGAUGGAUCUUUAAUCUUGCUGAACACAUGUUGAGG